CCCCCUUCCCCAGCGCGCCUCUACCGCCCCCUACUCCAACGCGCCACCGCCGGCCCCUACUCCAACGCGCCGCUGCCGUAAACCUGCCAGGUGCGCCGCCGCCCCCUGCCCCAGCACGCCACCACAACGACCUCCCUUUCCCAGUGCGCCGCCGCAGGCCCCCUGGCCCAGCGCACCACCACCACGACCUCCCUCCCCCAGUGCGGUGCGGCCUAGCCCCUGCCUCCGAGCGUCGCCGGUCUUCGCGCACAACUAUCCCACUGCUGCCACACACACCAACUCUAUACUGAGGCUAGCACGGUGGUCGAUCACCGAGGGAUGGCCGGUCCUUGCCAUCGGCGGCCGCACUCCCGAUGUGUCAUGAGCGAUUGCGCCCAUAGAGGCUUGCUCCCAUCAUCCUCCUCCUCCCAGAGUACGAUGUCAAUGGCGACAACAUCCAGUAGGUCCUCUUGUGCCUCUACUCGCCCCGCUUUCACCACCGGCUAGUCGUGCAAAGCCAUGUAAAAAAGUUCAGGAGUAUAAAUGGAUUUUCUUCUUGUUGAACUAAGUUGAACAUGUCAUUAUGCGUCACGGCUGGGGGUGGGAGGCAUGCGGCGGCCGGAGGUGGGAGGCCGUUCAACUUUGCGUCUUUCGCUCGGCCAGCGCUCGACGAGGAGCACCCCGGUCUCGCUCGUGUGUGGGUUUUGGAGUAUAUUCUACCGAUGUGUUCUGCUCUCCUCUAUUUUCAACUAAAUCGUGCUGCCAUGUGUGGAUUUCCCCUCUAACUCCACAACAAGUUGAAUCCUGCAAAUUCUACUGGUAAGUGCAAGAUUCAGUAUUGUCCAUUUUGAUUUUAUAUAAAGAAGGCCAAUCAUUCUUGUUGCUUCACAUAUACUAGUAUACGGGAGUACUAAAAUCCAUCCACGAAACAAUCAAGCAACCAUGGAUAUCAGCCCACCACUGUGUUGCGGAUGUGAUCUUUGUGCGCUUUUGAGUAUUGUAAAACAAUUGUAUGCUUCUGGUUGCUUCUUGCUGCCACUGCCGAAUUGUGUAGGUGCAAAAAGUUUCAUAUCGCAAGUUCAAAGAGGGUUGUAUGCAAGUUUAGAAGUUUGUUUGGAGCAUCUUUAGGUGUUUGUUGUAAUGUAGAAAAGAGUUUUUAAUACCGAAAACAAACCUAGUGAAAAAAAUGUCCAGGCGACCAUCAUGCCUGCCUCCUGACCACCGCCAUCAGGUCGCGGCCUCUUCCGCCGUCAGGUCGCAGCCUCUUUCGCCGUCAGAUCGCAUCCUCUUCCUUCUGCAGGUCGCCGCCUCCUGCUGCUGCAGGCCAUGCCCCAUCCCCCAUUCUCGCAUGGUCGCCAACGAGGAGGUGAACAAUUGUUGAUCCUGAAGUUUCAUCGCAUGAUUUUUUGUCUCUGAAGUUUGCACCAAUUCUUGAUCCUGAAGCAUCAAUGCUUGAGCACUGAUUUUUGUGUGUUAGUCCUAUAGGUGUUUGUGUUCAUGCCUACAAGUGAUUUGUUGUGAAGUUAGACAAGAUGAAGCUAGGACAAGGCCGAAUCGUGUGGCAGAACCGCCUCCUUCUAGUGUGUCGCCUCCUCGUUCCAGCAUGCCGGCACCGCCGCAACCCUCCACCGUCAAUGUCGCACGUGUGUCGUCCUCAGUCCAACUCCAUGGCAUUAGGGUGGUCGAGUUCGUCAUGAGUAGCAGUCCAUGGCUGUCGGGUUCAACUUUCCUCAUCGCUAGGCUUGCACUCUUCUCCUAUGAGCUCUCUCACUUCUGUUGUUCAUUUUUACUGCUGCUUCAAUUUCCAUAUGAUGCAAAAUGUUGCUGAUGAACAUUACUGGUUCAUAUUUUAUAUGGUCGUUUGGUGCAUAGGAAACAGUGUGUGUACACUACAUUUUGGGAUUCGAUUUUGGAAGGUUCACACAUCGAGAUUCGUCGGACACAAUUUUGUAAGGUUCUAAAAUUCCUAGAGCAUCAGUCCAACGACGUAUGGGGGUAUAUUGUGUUCCUCCUGUGAUUUUUUGUAUGCUUGUAUGUACAAAAAAUGGUAGAGUUACUGCUUUGAUGUGUCGUGGUGCAAAUGUUGUUGAUGU